UGAGCAGCUCCCCUUCCCCAGCCUUUCCCACUUCAAACCAUUGUGUUUUUUUUUCCCUCUUGUGGGCAAAUCAUUUACUGUAAUUUAAUGAUCACAACCACAUAAAAUUCACUUCCUUGUGGUAAAAAAGAAAGGAUUAAAUGUCUCGGUUUAUCUUUCCACGUGGGUCACGUGGCCAGGGCUGGUUGUAAAAUGUGGGAGAACGGGUUUGAGGCGCAGCAGUGCCAAGUGCUGUACAUUUCCGUAUGCUCUCUACCCUGCGUAUCGCUCACAAAGACGCCACAGAACGACGAGGAAGUUUGCCUUCUCAGGGAGUGGAUUUUUUUUUUUUUAAAUGUAAUGCAUCGUUUAUUAUUCUUAAAUCUAAUCUUUUAAGACCUCAGUGCUGUCCUAGUCCCAACCCCAAAAGGAACAAGCUGAGAGAAACUCCUGCUCAGCCAUACAAAAGCCGAAAUGUUGAACAAAAUCAGAUGGCCGGCUUGUAACAAAGCAAUCAGCAUCUCAAAAAACCUCGUGAGCCACACAGAUGGGAUGCAUAUCUCAAAAUCUCGUACAUCAAUAAGUGACCCGCCAGCUCUGAAGGAGCCCCUGGUGCAGCUGGUGACCUCUCAUGCUAACAGCAGCACUGGGGGCUCGGGGGAAGGUGGUGGGGAAGGCCCACCUGGCUGGCAUUUGGGAACGUGGCUGCUGGGUAGGGUGUGUUGGGUCAGAAGGAGUUUGGGACUCUGGGACUGUGCGGUGCCAAACAGGACUUGGUUCUCCUUGCCAAUACAAAUUGUAGAGGUUCAUUUAAAGGAUUCCUUUGUCCUUGGUGGGGCUCUUGCUAGGCUGUAAGCAAUUGAGCUUCUGUUACAAAGAGCCUUUUUCAUCGUCACUUCCAAAGAAGCGCUGGAAUAUGUAGGAAAUGCUCUGUGCCCCCAGAGGAGAGGCAGUAGGCUCACAUCUGUCACUUCUGAGCCCUCUGGCUGGAGCUCCCCUGAAGCCAGCCCCAGCAGUGGACUCUGCGAAAAAAAAUAAAUAUCCAUGCCUGUGAUGGAGCAGGAGGUCUCUCUGGGGAGGUCUGGCUUGAAGACUAACACAGGGGCAGAAACAAGAUCAGCUUUUCUGUGCAUCUCCCUUCUGCGCUGCUAGGAGGAAAGAGUGUGUGGCCAACACACCCAUAUUGCUGCCCUUCUCAGUGCUCAACAGAGAAAAACAGAAAAGACAAAUGAAGACAUUUUCCUGCCUUUUGUGGAUGUUACCUGCUUGCCCAGCCAAAGUCCUGAGUCUGACAGGCCAAUGCUGGGUGCAUUGGUGUGGAGGAGCUGCUCUGCACUCCCUCUGUGGGGGGACAGCUCCAGCAGGGAGGGAUGUGUGUCCAAACUAAGGACAAGAAAUGAUUUCUUCCCUGCCACACUAUGAUGCCCAUUCCCAUCUGAUCAGCUUUCCCACAGACCAAAGCCUCAGGAUGCCACCCCAAUGUCAAGGUUCCCAGUUUGUCUCGAUGAUACCUGCGGUGAAUUCUUCAGAUGUGUCUCCUCUGGUCUCCCUCAAAUGCCUCACCUCGUGACUCAGGCUGCAAGUCUGACUCAGACAUCAUGCUCUUCCCCACCUUUCAUUUCUGAUGUAGGGCAAUGCUGACAUACUUCACCUCAUGCUUCCUGGGGCUACUCCAUGGCACGAGGGCCAUUGGGUGUGCUCCAGGUCCUGCUGCAGCACUGCGGGGUCAGGGCAUGGCCAACAGUGACACCGUGGGAGGGGGUGUGUCUGCACGGAGUGUGUGGCUUGGUGCAGCCUCCUCACGUUGUAGCACUCCUUUGGAUGCUUUGUCUUUUGGAAGGGUUUGCUGUGACACUUCAGGUGGUAGCAAGAAGCUCUCCAGCUGAAGGUAGCAGAGGUUUAGUGGAGGUAGCCUGGUUUGAAGAAGAUCCUGGUUUGAAGAACCAGACAUUGUUAUCCCAAAAACUAAUUGUAGGGGCCUACUGAUGGUACAUGUCAUUGCUCCCACAAAAGAGGCAGUAAAAAUGUUGCCCACAAAGGAUGCUGCUUCCUUGUCUUACUGUGUGGGGUUCUUGGAGGGAAAGCCUAGACCACUUACACAAUGGCAAAGGGCAUGGUGAUCAGGUGUUUUCUUGCUUGGAUAUGUCCUUGGUGACAUGAUCAUUGUUGAUGUGCUGAUGCCACCCCACAUUUUGCCUACCAGAGCCCUGCCUGGGCAGCACAGGGCCCUCCCGUGCACCUUGCCAUGCCCUCAGCACCUGCACUGCUCCUGCCUGGAGAUCUCCAGGUGCCCCCAGGGUGCAGCCUGGAGGCCAGCCUUGCAGCUACUGGCUGUGGUUUGUCCCACACAAAAGCUGGUGAGCCGAGGUGUCUGGCUGCCUGGAGUGGCGCCAGGCCUUGAGGGAAUCCUUCACUUAUCCACGUGGCUAGAAAACACUCCGGUAAGGGACAGCAGAUGAAAAGUCACAGACUGGGGAAACUAAAGAUGCCCUGUGUGCAGGCAUACAGGUUUAAUAAGUAAUCCCUUGUUAUCGCAUGCCUUGUCGAGUGAUUGCAAGAUACGCUGCUCUGUAACCUGCAGAUUUGCUACAGGAGUGAGAAUUGCUUGCUGCAGUUAUUGUUUCAAAGCUUUGGAACAAAGGAACUGCUGGUAAGUGUAGGCUGUUUUGCUUCUGACCAAUUUAAAUGCCUCUCUCUCUCAGCAAGCCAGCUUGAGGUCACUCCCGUGGCUUGUGUAGGCUGCUUGCAGUUUUUGUCACGCUUCAGUGAGAUCGUUUGGUUAACUGUGGCUUCCCACUUCCCACAAGCAAGCGGACUGCAGGCAGAGGCCAAGCUGACACAGAACCUCAGUGACAUUGCAAACACGUCCAAGGACAGGCUCAAAGAGCAGCCAGACCUGUUCACCUCUGGCAAAAAUUAAAUGUGGUGGUUUGGAAAGAGGUAAGAAAGAAUGAACAAAAGCAUAUCGUGCUUCAAAGUAAAAGUACAGCCAUGGACAACCAGGGCAUGAAAUGUGGCACUGCUUCUGUCUGGUGACCACCAUACAACCUGGUCACAUACAGAAGCAUGGGAGCUGCCUGGGUAGGCAUAAACCCACAACCAAAGCACAGUUUGUGAUUUUACCUCCAUGAAUACCCUUGGGAACGACAGCAGGACUUUUUAACAGGGUGGGACAAUCCACUGAUCUUCCCUGAGGAUGAAAGGUGGCUGUGGGUACACCUAUGGGGAUGGAGGAGCAGCCUCAGAGUCUGCCAUGGGGCAGGGCAUUGCCCAACACAGCCCGUUCAGAUGGAGACGUCUGUCACCAUGUUGGAAAGAUGGGCUGUUUGGUGCACGUGGGACAAGUCUGAGCAUAUUUGAGAUGUUUCCUGCACAAUUUUUUAAUGAAGAGCCCUUGACUGGUCACCUCCUGCAAGCAGGAUCUCUAGUUUUGCCCCAGUAAGGACCUCAGGGCUGAGUUUCUCUCUUCUUUUGUUAGGAAACCAGCAAACACCAGUCCUGGCCUUCUGGCUGGAGAAAGAAAUAAUCUGAUAUAAUUUGUUGGCUUGACAGGAAAUAUUUCGUAUGGAGAUAUUUCUACAGUCUGUUCUGUAUCAAAUUCCUGAUUUUUUUUUUCUCUUUGCUCUUUGGCAUCUUGAAUGGCUGUAAUCUCAUGGUGCCUGUCUUCGUGUUAAGAGAGGACUCGAUGCACAGAACUGCCUUUUUUUCAUUUCCUAACUUCCACUUUCUCCCUGCAACACCCUUCCUGCUGUUUCAUUUCCAGGCAGGACAUAGCCCUGAAACUCAGUCAAGCGUGAUUCAGCAUUUAAUUGACACACUGGUGUACAAAACCUGGCUCUGCUGACUUUCAGAUGCACAGCAGAGGUAGUUUCCCUUGCGAUGAGGUAGGUCUGGCCUUUAUUUGUUUUACAGGUCAGCAUGAUGGGCCACUUUUGUGGCUGAUAUGCAUCAAGGGAGCAGCAAGCUCUGCCAGUAGCUGCUGAGGACCCAGCCCAGAGAUGCUACACGUGUAGCACCAGUCACAGAGCAGAACAUAAGAUACUGUGCAUGCCUUUUAGAUGCACCAUAGAUGCAUUUUUAUAUGCUUUGAGCUCUAGUGCUUAUAUAAAUAAGAUGUUGCAAUAUCAGAGUGGUGUUAAUCCACUUGAAUUUCUUGUUAACGUGUUUAUAUAGUCGCUAUGUCACAGGGGUAUUAUUGUGUGCUCUUUCCAGAAAAAAAAAGUCGAGGCUGCUUUUAGCACUUCAAGUUGAUACCAGCCAGAGAAGGGCAUGUCUGCUCUUCAAGACCAUCAAGAAAUAUGGUCAGAGAGGGAAUGGGAUCAACUUGGCAAUGUUCUGAGUUGUCACGAUGCCCAAGGCUCCUGACAUUCCUGAGGCAGCAAGGUCAUCUUAAAAGUACUGUUGCAUUUCUCUGGCAUUGUUUAUGUUAAUAUCCUGAGAAUGACUUGCAUAUUUGAACCUUAUGAUGGGUUAAUCAUUAAUUACAGUCUUACAACACUGAAAUAAGAAACCAGCAAUCUAGGAAAAUAACAAAUUCUCUUGUGAAGUGUCUGUUUAAAAAGAGCCAGAACAUGCUCUGUAGAUUCAUUUUAAUUUAGGAUAGCAUGGAUAAAGGGAAAGAGGAAAAUUCCACUAAAACAUUUUAGUGUGGCACAAUUCUUCGUCUCACUUGGAAAAAGCUGAUGUCUGUGGAGUGCAUGCGUGUGUAGCUCUGAACACCUGUAAGGGCUGUGGUUUGUGUUUCUUUCUCAUCUCCAGAUGGAGGUGGACCUCUAGGGAGUGGUAAGGUCAGCAAGGAACUGCAGGGAAAACAUUAGUCUUCCUGUGUAACUUGGUGGUUUGCCCGACAGGUAAAGUCCUAAUGUGACUACCUCUCCUUGAAAGCUGCUUGUAGCAUUGUGAUUACCCAUUCCCUGAACAAGAUACAUGUACAGUGACCUGGUUCUGGGGAUUUUUGCUGGGACAUGCAGACUCCCUAAACCAAACCUGCAAGGAAAACAGGUGAAAUUAGGUGACUCUCUCCCACCUCCAAAUCCUACUCUUCCAAAACCUUUCAGUUUUCUAACACAAAUGAAAAAAAAAAAAAAAGACAGGGAAGACAGGGAAACCUUUCAUGAUUAGUAUCUUCCAGCAAGCCCAAGGCAUGUUAUCAUGAAAUGCCUUGACCUGACGGCACUGUGGGAAAAGAUGGUUAAAGAGAGGAAGUUGCAGAUACUUUUGCUUCCCAAUGAGGGACAUGGAAGGAAGUGCAAUAUUUGUUCUGUUCUCCUUCUCUUUCGGAUUAUUCCCUAACACUAAUGCCUGCUUUAGUCACCUCUGCCUUCCUUCUGCUUUGCCUCAGGGUUUAACUCUGUUCCCGCACACCGCUCUUCUCCCAAGACUUUGUAUCUGCAGCAAAUUUUCUUCAGAUGGACUUAGAGCAAGGAAGGAAACAGGUGUUCUGGAGGACUGCAAUGCUGCCGAGAGGUGCAGCCUAGCUAUCUGUGCCUGAAAGGACUGCUUUUGAAGGCUGAAGCGUGCUGAGAUGAUAAUGAUGUGCUGUUUUCUCUCAACAGGGCACCUCAGUGCCAGCUCCCAGCACUUCUGGGAGCACAGUGGGGUUAUGGAGGUUUUGUGCAGCUGGUGAAUGGAAAGCAUGAGGACACCAGCUUUGUCUUUUCCAUUCAUAUCCAGGCAUGGUCUCUAAACUGGAUGUGAAAAGAGUCUGGGGCUGAUCAGAGGCUGCUGGAAGAAUGGUGAGGUGCCCCAUACACAUUUUGGGAUGGGUCCUGUCCUCCAGGCCAUCUCCCCUCCCUGAGGAGCCCAUGAGGAUGCAGGCUGUGGCACCCCACUGCCCUCCUGCCCCAAACACCCCUUCCCCAGCCAGGAGGGAGCACAUUGCCCACCAGGAAGCCUGCGCAGCAUCAGGCUUCACCUGGCCGUAGCAUGUCACAAAGAAAUAUCAGUCGCUGUUUUUAAAGAAUGCUUUAUUCACUACAUCCUAGAAAUGUACCGUAAAUAGAGCAAGAACUAAAUAAACUCAGAGGCUUCCGACAGUACAGAAAACAGAGAUACAAUAAAACACCUAAAAUAUCAGCUCUUUCAAGAAUAAGGCACACUAGUUUUUUUUUUCUUCCUUUUUUUUUUUUUUUUUAAUAUAUAUAUAUAUAUAUCUUUGAA